CCUACGGGAGGCAGCAGUGAGGAAUAUUGGUCAAUGGCCGGAAGGCUGAACCAGCCAUGCCGCGUGAAGGUCAGUGCCCUUUGGGCGUUAAACUUCUUUUGUGCGGGAGCAAAAAUGCUCUCGUUUGGCCAGACGAGCGUACCGUAAGAAUAAGCAUCGGCUAACACCGUUCCAGCAGCCGCGGUAAUUCGGGGGAUGCCAGCGUUAACCGGAUUUAUUGGGUUUAAAGGGAGCGUAGAUGGGUUGUUAAGUCAGUUGUGAAAGUUUGCGGCUCAACCGUAAAAUUGCAAUUGAUACUGGCAGUCUUGAGUACAGUUGAGGUAGGCGGAAUGCGUGGUGUAGCGGUGAAAUGCUUAGAUAUCACGAAGAACCCCGAUUGCGAAGGCAGCUUACUAAACUGUGACUGACGUUGAGGCUCGAAAGUGUGGGUAUCAAACAGGAUUAGAUACCCCUGUAGUC
rnacentral:rRNA from 1 species